rnacentral:rRNA from 1 species
UAGAUGCGAGAGUAGAGCAUAUCAAUAAGCGGAGGAAAAGAAACUAACGAAGGAUUCCCUUAGUAACGGCGAGUGAAGCGGGAAGAGCUCAAAUUUGAAAUCUUCAAGGUUCUACCUUGACGAAUUGUAGUUUAAAGAAGUGUUUUCUGUUAGAUGAGUAGCAAAAGUUCCUUGGAAUGGGACAUCAUAGAGGGUGAGAAUCCCGUAUUUGGUUAUCCAUUCUAGCUUUGUGAUACACUUUCAAAGAGUCGGAUUGUUUGGGAAUGCAGUCCAAAAUGGGUGGUAAAUUUCAUCUAAAGCUAAAUAUUGGCGAGAGACCGAUAGCGAACAAGUUACCGUGAGGGAAAGAUGAAAAGAACUUUGAAAAGAGAGUUAAACAGUACGUGAAAUUGUCAAAAGGGAAGCGUUUGACACCAGUGUUGUUUUUCCGAAAAUCAAUUACGAAUGGCUUGAUUUUGUGUUGUAUUGACCUUAUCAGCUUUCUGCACUUUUUUUCGAGUCUUUCUUAAUGCACUUUUCGGUUAACAAGUCAACAUCAAUUUCUUUUGUUGUAAAAGAGUAUUCGGAAGGUGGCUUUCUUUUCGGAGAAAGUGUUUAUAGCCCUAUACUUCUACAAUCGGAGAGAUUGAGGUCUGCAGCGUAGAUCCUUCGGGGUUAGAUACACUUGUGCUAAGUUGUAGCUUUUCAUAGACAACUUGUUGACUAUGUUUAGUCAUGCGGCUUACUCGCUUAUGCUAUUUUACCUACGCUUAGGAUGUUGAGCGCAUGUCUCUCUCU